UACGAAGGGGGCUAGCGUUGCUCGGAAUCACUGGGCGUAAAGGGUGCGUAGGCGGGUCUUUAAGUCAGGGGUGAAAUCCUGGAGCUCAACUCCAGAACUGCCUUUGAUACUGAAGAUCUUGAGUUCCGGGAGAGGUGAGUGGAACUGCGAGUGUAGAGGUGAAAUUCGUAGAUAUUCGCAAGAACACCAGUGGCGAAGGCGGCUCACUGGCCCGGUACUGACGCUGAGGUGCGAAAGCGUGGGGAGCAAACAGG
rnacentral:rRNA from 1 species